UACGUAGGGAGCAAGCGUUGUUCGGAUUUACUGGGCGUAAAGGGCGCGUAGGCGGCGUGUUAAGUCAGCUGUGAAAUCUCCAAGCUCAACUUGGAACGGCCAGCUGAUACUGAUGUGCUAGAGUGCAGAAGGGGCAAUCGGAAUUCUUGGUGUAGCGGUGAAAUGCGUAGAUAUCAAGAGGAACACCUGAGGUGAAGACGGGUUGCUGGGCUGACACUGACGCUGAGGCGCGAAAGCCAGGGGAGCAAACGGGAUUAGAAACCCGGUAGUCC
rnacentral:rRNA from 1 species